rnacentral:rRNA from 1 species
AGUGAACGCUGGCGGUAGGCCUAACACAUGCAAGUCGAACGGCAGCACAGUAAGAGCUUGCUCUUACGGGUGGCGAGUGGCGGACGGGUGAGGAAUACAUCGGAAUCUACUUUUUCGUGGGGGAUAACGUAGGGAAACUUACGCUAAUACCGCAUACGACCUACGGUUAAAACCAGGGAUCCUCCGGCCCUUCGCCAAUUAAUGAGCCGAUGUCGGAUUAGCUAGUUGGCGGGGUAAAGGCCCACCAAGGCGACGAUCCGUAGCUGGUCUGAGAGGAUGAUCAGCCACACUGGAACUGAGACACGGUCCAGACUCCUACGGGAGGCAGCAGUGGGGAAUAUUGGACAAUGGGCGCAAGCCUGAUCCAGCCAUACCGCGUGGGUGAAGAAGGCCUUCGGGUUGUAAAGCCCUUUUGUUGGGAAAGAAAAGCAGCAGGUUAAUACCCCGCUGUUCUGACGGUACCCAAAGAAUAAGCACCGGCUAACUUCGUG